rnacentral:rRNA from 1 species
GACGAACGCUGGCGGCGUGCUUAACACAUGCAAGUCGAACGGAAAGGCCCUGCUUUUGUGGGGUGCUCGAGUGGCGAACGGGUGAGUAACACGUGAGUAACCUGCCCCUGACUUUGGGAUAACUUCAGGAAAAUGGGGCUAAUACCGGAUAGGAGCUCCUGCUGCAUGGUGGGGGUUGGAAAGUUUCGGCGGUUGGGGAUGGACUCGCGGCUUAUCAGCUUGUUGGUGGGGUAGUGGCUUACCAAGGGUUUGACGGGUAGCCGGCCUGAGAGGGUGACCGGCCACAAUGGGACUGAGAGACGGCCCAGACGCCUACGGUAGGCAGCGGUGGGGAAUAUUGCGCAGUGGGCGGAAGCCUGAUGCAGCAACGCCGCGUGCGUGAUGACGGCCUUCGGGUUAUAAACCGCUUUCGCCUGUGACGAAGCGUGAGUGACGGUAAUGGGUAAGAAAGCACCGGCUAACUACGUG